rnacentral:lncRNA from 1 species
CACUUUUCUUUGUGCAUUCACACGAUGCAUUUUCUUUUCUUAUCACCAAACUGUUUUGAAAGAUAAAAGUACUUCCUGAAUAUGUGGAUGGUGAGCCACGUGAAUGGAAGACAUGGAGAUAUGGACUGUUAACACCUUGUCAAACAUUUAUUGUCCCUUCCACCUCUAAACUUCUGUGAUAAUAGGUGAACAGGACCCACGUGGUGCAGAAUACUGCGAUACACACUGCGGAAUAAUUCAGAAUAUUGUAGUUAUCUCCUACUUAGAAGUCUCUGUAGCCCCAAGAUGCCAGAUAUUGCAUCUGCAGAAAGGAAAAUUGAAAUCAACGUGCCCAGUGGGUCCAGAACUUGACAGCCUGACAGCAAAUUGUAGCCUUUAGCUUUUGCCUUGAGUUAUUGUAGGCAGGAACAUCAGUGGGAGAGUGUGUGUGUUUUCUCUUUCACAACACAAUUUAUGGAGGUGGUGUGAUUGCCACAAUGAACAUGUUUGAAUGGGUGAUUUAAACAAUUUUCCAUAUGAGAAUGAUGGCUGUGAGUGUUAAGCAUGUUGAUGAUUGCAUAUUUUGUUUGCUUUCAUCAAAAGUUCCUUACAAAUUCACUAGAGAAGGAGCAUCGACAGGAUGCAGGAUAGGAAACAGAUUGUAUAUAUUAUCAAGGUAAUGAUUACCAACACAUACUUCAAAAAAUAAAAGUGUAAAAAGCACUAAAUAUGUCACAAAUAACUCUUGCCUAAGUGUUUUGUGGAAUGGGUCAGAGCAAAAACAAAGCAAAAGAACAAAUACAUGAGCAAA